rnacentral:tRNA from 1 species
GAGGCUGGACGAAGGUGGACGGGCUGACUCUUAAUCCGUAGGUUGGAGGUUCGAGUCCUCCCGGCGCCCACCG